AGCGCAAGUCGCCUGGCGAAUAAAAUAUUAACAUCUGGAAAAUCUUUACAAAACAAUUAAAACAAUCUAAUUUUCUGUACAUCCCAUAUUUUCUUUUUUGAACAUUUUGUUCGUACAUCUCCUAUUUUUAUGCCAUCUAAAUCAUCAACUAUUAAGUUCCUAAUUUUUCUCAAAAGUUAACCCACGUUGACUCAAAUCUUCAGAAACUAUUUCUUCAUCUCCUAUAUAACUUGCAAAUCAUCUUUACUUUCUUCUCUACGGCAAACAAAACUUUAUACCAUCUUGCCUUUAAAAUUUUUUCUUCUUUACUUUUCAUUUUUCAUGUGUGGUUGAAUUAUCAAACCAAGGAGCUACAUCACCUUAUCAAAAAGAAGAAAUGGGGAGCACAAAUGUGAAAGAAAACGACAGAGACCUGCAACUUCGCUCACCAUCUCAAGAUUUGGAAGCAUCGUUCAAACUUGAGAUAUCAUCAAAGGUGGUUAAAGGGGAGUAUUAUUCACCCAAGGUUAGUGACCCCAUAUUACGACCCCGUUUAGCAAAUCACUAAAGGUGAUUGUCACAAGUCAUGUCUUCAUCAUCAUAUUGACUAUUUUACUAAUCCAUUAACUUUUUAUAUUUAUAUAGGAAACCACAUUUGUUCAAAUAUAAGAAACAACACAUGCAGAUGCGGCUUUUGGCAAUGUUUCAAAAAAAAAAAGACAAAUCAGACUUCACAAUAUUCGAGUUUGGAUGUAAGUUAAUAGCAAGACCAAUGAGAAGCCAAUUGAAUUGUUUUUAUCUAGGGCUUCUUUUAAACAAUAUCAAAGGUUCAAUCAGCUACGAAGAUAUACGAACUGUUGAUGGAAUUGUGUAUUUUACUUUUGAAGAUACUUAUAAUACCUUUCUUAUUUGAACUAUAUUUUUUUAUCUAUAAAAAUGUUUUCUUAUAUUUUCAGUUAUUUAUAGCAAAAUACAA